AUACCGGCUGCUCGAGUGAUGGCCACUAUUACUGGGUUUAAAGCGUCCGUAGCUUGACUGUUAGGUCUCUUGGGAAAUCUUUUGGCUUAACCAAAAGGCGUCUAAGAGAUACCGGCAUUCUUGGAACUGGGAGAGGUAAGCCGUACUUCGGGGGUAGGAGUGAAAUCUUGUAAUCCUCGAGGGACGACCUAUGGCGAAGGCAGCUUACCAGAACAGCUUCGACAGUGAGGGACGAAAGCUGGGGGAGCAAACGGGAUUAGAUACCCCGGUAGUCCCAGCCGUAAACAAUGUGCGUUAGGUGUGUCGGUUACCACGCGUAACUGAUGCGCCGAAGAGAAAUCGUGAAACGCACCACCUGGGAAGUACGGUCGCAAGGCUGAAACUUAAAGGAAUUGGCGGGG
rnacentral:rRNA from 1 species